CAAGGUUUAACAGGGUACAAAACCCGGGCCAUAUCCCCAUACCCUAUCCAGGUCCCACAGUUUAACAGGGUACUAGACCUGGGCUAUAUCACCAUACCCUAUCCAGGUCCCACAGUUUAACAGGGUACUAGACCUGGGCUAUAUCACCAUACCCUAUCCAGGUCCCACAGUUUAACAGGGUACUAGACCCAGGCUAUAUCACCAUACCCUAUCCAGGUCCCAAGGUUUAACAGGGUACUAGACCUGGGCUAUA